rnacentral:lncRNA from 13 species
ACCACCCGGCUCGGCGGCGGAGGGUGGGCCGCCGUCACCUGACCGCCCGCCCCCGCCCCCCGCGAGUAAGGGGCGGUGGUAGCGUCUGCUCGGUUACAAAUGGCCCCUCCCGCCCGGCUCGCCCGCUCGCUCGGGCUCGGCGCGGACCCGCCUGGGCGUGCUCCUCCCGCAGGCUCCAGGCGUCCCACCGCCCUGACUCCUGAGGGCGCGCCGGGCACCCAGCGAGUAGGCUCGCCUGCGGAGGUCGUCACGGAAGUCUGGACCGCCGAGGCUUGUGGCUCGUCUACCGGCAGGUAUUCUUUUGAUCACAAUGGAUAGUGACUCUUCUCUUCUGCCUGAGUGGUUCAAAAUAAUGAAGGAUGAGAUUGGACUUCUCAGUGUGUGUCCAGAACAAGGAUGGAGAGGCUCAGCAGCACUGACAGGACCUCCUCAUGAAAUGGAAGCACAUCCAGGCUGGAGGCCCCUGUGUUCCAGGUGCUGUGUCGGUGCUGACCUGCCCGGUGACUCCAUGAUGGCUUCUGUCUUCAAGGUCACCAUCAACUGAAACAGACUGAAGAGAAAAGCAUCAGUGGGGAAAAAACUUUGUUCUGGGAGGUGCAGUGACCACCAAAUACUAUGAAGUGGACACACUCAAGCUGUGGAGGGCUCUUAGCGUUUGUUGAAGACAGAUCUUCCCAGAGAAAUACCAACACACAGCAGCACAGAGGCAUCUCUGUGCCCGUCGACCCACCCAGAGACCUCCCCAGCAUGGUGUGGUGGGGCAGCUGGUGUUGUGAAUCAGGCCGUUGCCAAUCAGAGAACGGCUACUUCACAACACCAGGGCCGCACCACACUACAGGCGGCAUUCUGGCUCCAGAACCAGCAAAGGCACCCACUGGCGAGGCAGCCACUCCCCCGCCACAGAGGACCAUCAGCUCUAGAACCCAGGCACGUGGCUUUCCAGGUCUGGGCUGGCUGCUGCAUCGCCCCUGCAGACACUGGCUUCCUGAGGCUGCUGUUUAUCCCCAACACAAAUGCUCCACUUUUAAAGAAAAGGCCACUCCUGGUAACAUUAGUUUCCUACAGAGAAAAUGGUGCUACCAGGCUUCCCACUGUGAAAAUGAAGUUAUGGGCCAUCAGGAGGGUUCAGUGCCACUCAAUUGA